CCAGCAGCCGCGGUAAUUCCAGCUCCAAUAGCGUAUAUUAAAGUUGUUGCAGUUAAAAAGCUCGUAGUUGAACUUCGGGGUUCACCCAUUGGUCAGGCUUAAUUGUCUGUACUGGUGAGAUGAAUCUCUACCUUCUGAGGAACUUUCAUGCCAUUUAUUUGGUGUGAUGGGAAAUCAGGACUGUUACUUUGAAAAAAUUAGAGUGUUUAAAGCAGGCUAACGUCUGAAUACAUUAGCAUGGAAUAAUGAAAUAGGACGGAUUGAUUCUAUUUCGUUGGUUUCUAGGAUCACCGUAAUGAUUAAUAGGGAUAGUUGGGGGCAUUAGUAUUCAAUUGUCAGAGGUGAAAUUCUUGGAUUUAUUGAAGACUAACUACUGCGAAAGCAUUUGCCAAGGAUGUUUUCAUUAAUCAAGAACGAAAGUUAGGGGAUCGAAGACGAUCAGAUACCGUCGUAGUCUUAACCAUAAACUAUGCCGACUAGGGAUCGGACGAAGUUAAUUU
rnacentral:rRNA from 1 species